GAGACAGCAGUCGCCGCGGUAAUACGUAGGUGGCAAGCGUUAUCCGGAAUUAUUGGGCGUAAAGCGCGCGUAGGCGGUUUUUUAAGUCUGAUGUGAAAGCCCACGGCUCAACCGUGGAGGGUCAUUGGAAACUGGAAAACUUGAGUGCAGAAGAGGAAAGUGGAAUUCCAUGUGUAGCGGUGAAAUGCGCAGAGAUAUGGAGGAACACCAGUGGCGAAGGCGACUUUCUGGUCUGUAACUGACGCUGAUGUGCGAAAGCGUGGGGAUCAAACAGGAUUAGAUACCCCUGUAGUCCCUGUCUCUUAUAC
rnacentral:rRNA from 1 species